GACGAACGCUGGCGGCGUGCCUAAUACAUGCAAGUAGAACGCACAGUUUAUACCGUAGCUUGCUACACCAUAGACUGUGAGUUGCGAACGGGUGAGUAACGCGUAGGUAACCUGCCUGGUAGCGGGGGAUAACUAUUGGAAACGAUAGCUGAUACCGCAUAAUAUUGAUUAUUGCAUGAUAAUUGAUUGAAAGAUGCUAUUGCAUCACUACCAGAUGGACCUGCGUUGUAUUAGCUAGUAGGUGAGGUAACGGCUCACCUAGGCGACGAUACAUAGCCGACCUGAGAGGGUGAUCGGCCACCCUGGGACUGAGACACGGCCCAGACUCCUACGGGAGGCAGCAGUAGGGAAUCUUCGGCAAUGGACGAAAGUCUGACCGAGCAACGCCGCGUGAGUGAAGAAGGUUUUCGGAUCGUAAAGCUCUGUUGUAAGAGAAGAACGGGUGUGAGAGUGGAAAGUUCACACUGUGACGGUAUCUUACCAGAAAGGGACGGCUAACUACGUG
rnacentral:rRNA from 1 species